rnacentral:rRNA from 1 species
AGCUCCAAUAGCGUAUAUUAAAGUUGUUGCAGUUAAAAAGCUCGUAGUCGGAUUUCGGGUCGGGCCGAGCGGUCUGCCGAUGGGUAUGCACUGGCCGGCGCGUCCUUCCUUUCGGAGACCGUGCCUGCUCUUAACUGAGUGGGUUCGGGAGACGAAUCGUUUACUUUGAAAAAAUCAGAGUGUUUCAAGCAGGCAGCUCGCUCUUGCAUGGAUUAGCAUGGGAUAAUGAAAUAGGACUUUGGUGCUAUUUUGUUGGUUUCGAACACCGAAGUAAUGAUUAACAGGGACAGUCAGGGGCACUCGUAUUCCGUAGAGAGAGGUGAAAUUCUCAGACCCACGGAAGACGAACCACUGCGAAAGCAUUUGCCAGGGAUGUUUUCA